rnacentral:rRNA from 1 species
AAAGCGUGCGCAGGCGGUUUUGUAAGACUGUCGUGAAAUCCCCGGGCUCAACCUGGGAAUGGCGAUGGUGACUGCAAGGCUAGAGUUUGGCAGAGGGGGGUAGAAUUCCACGUGUAGCAGUGAAAUGCGUAGAUAUGUGGAGGAACACCGAUGGCGAAGGCAAUCCCCUGGACCUGUACUGACGCUCAUGCACGAAAGCGUGGGGAGCAAACAGGAUUAGAUACCCUGGU